rnacentral:rRNA from 1 species
CUGCGCGGAAGAUGUAACGGGGCUAAACCAUGCACCGAAGCUGCGGCAGCGACACUGUGUGUUGUUGGGUAGGGGAGCGUUCUGUAAGCCUGUGAAGGUGUGCUGUGAGGCAUGCUGGAGGUAUCAGAAGUGCGAAUGCUGACAUAAGUAACGAUAAAGCGGGUGAAAAGCCCGCUCGCCGGAAGACCAAGGGUUCCUGUCCAACGUUAAUCGGGGCAGGGUGAGUCGACCCCUAAGGCGAGGCCGAAAGGCGUAGUCGAUGGGAAACAGGUUAAUAUUCCUGUACUUGGUGUUACUGCGAAGGGGGGACGGAGAAGGCUAUGUUGGCCGGGCGACGGUUGUCCCGGUUUAAGCGUGUAGGCUGGUUUUCCAGGCAAAUCCGGAAAAUCAAGGCUGAGGCGUGAUGACGAGGCACUACGGUGCUGAAGCAACAAAUGCCCUGCUUCCAGGAAAAGCCUCUAAGCAUCAGGUAACAUCAAAUCGUACCCCAAACCGACACAGGUGGUCAGGUAGAGAAUACCAAGGCGCUUGAGAGAACUCGGGUGAAGGAACUAGGCAAAAUGGUGCCGUAACUUCGGGAGAAGGCACGCUGAUAUGUAGGUGAAGUCCCUCGCGGAUGGAGCUGAAAUCAGUCGAAGAUACCAGCUGGCUGCAACUGUUUAUUAAAAACACAGCACUGUGCAAACACGAAAGUGGACGUAUACGGUGUGACGCCUGCCCGGUGCCGGAAGGUUAAUUGAUGGGGUCAGCGCAAGCGAAGCUCUUGAUCGAAGCCCCGGUAAACGGCGGCCGUAACUAUAACGGUCCUAAGGUAGCGAAAUUCCUUGUCGGGUAAGUUCCGACCUGCACGAAUGGCGUAAUGAUGGCCAGGCUGUCUCCACCCGAGACUCAGUGAAAUUGAACUCGCUGUGAAGAUGCAGUGUACCCGCGGCAAGACGGAAAGACCCCGUGAACCUUUACUAUAGCUUGACACUGAACAUUGAGCCUUGAUGUGUAGGAUAGGUGGGAGGCUUUGAAGUGUGGACGCCAGUCUGCAUGGAGCCGACCUUGAAAUACCACCCUUUAAUGUUUGAUGUUCUAACGUGGACCCGUGAUCCGGGUUGCGGACAGUGUCUGGUGGGUAGUUUGACUGGGGCGGUCUCCUCCUAAAGAGUAACGGAGGAGCACGAAGGUUGGCUAAUCCUGGUCGGACAUCAGGAGGUUAGUGCAAUGGCAUAAGCCAGCUUGACUGCGAGCGUGACGGCGCGAGCAGGUGCGAAAGCAGGUCAUAGUGAUCCGGUGGUUCUGAAUGGAAGGGCCAUCGCUCAACGGAUAAAAGGUACUCCGGGGAUAACAGGCUGAUACCGCCCAAGAGUUCAUAUCGACGGCGGUGUUUGGCACCUCGAUGUCGGCUCAUCACAUCCUGGGGCUGAAGUAGGUCCCAAGGGUAUGGCUGUUCGCCAUUUAAAGUGGUACGCGAGCUGGGUUUAGAACGUCGUGAGACAGUUCGGUCCCUAUCUGCCGUGGGCGCUGGAGAACUGAGGGGGGCUGCUCCUAGUACGAGAGGACCGGAGUGGACGCAUCACUGGUGUUCGGGUUGUCAUGCCAAUGGCACUGCCCGGUAGCUAAAUGCGGAAGAGAUAAGUGCUGAAAGCAUCUAAGCACGAAACUUGCCCCGAGAUGAGUUCUCCCUGACCCUUUAAGGGUCCUGAAGGAACGUUGAAGACGACGACGUUGAUAGGCCGGGUGUGUAAGCGCAGCGAUGCGUUGAGCUAACCGGUACUAAUGAACCGUGAGGCUUAACCUU